rnacentral:rRNA from 1 species
AUUGAACGCUGGCGGCAGGCCUAACACAUGCAAGUCGAACGGUAACAGAAAGCAGCUUGCUGCUUUGCUGACGAGUGGCGGACGGGUGAGGAAUGUCUGGGAAACUGCCUGAUGGAGGGGGAUAACUACUGGAAACGGUAGCUAAUACCGCAUAACGUCGCAAGACCAAAGAGGGGGACCUUCGGGCCUCUUGCCAUCGGAUGUGCCCUGAGGGGAUUAGCUAGUAGGUGGGGUAACGGCUCACCUAGGCGACGAUCCCUAGCUGGUCUGAGAGGAGGACCAGCCACGCUGGAACUGAGAGACGGACCAGGAUCCUACGGGAGGCAGCACUGGGGAAUAUUGCACAAUGGGCGAAAGCCUGAUGCAGCCAUGCAGCGUGUAUGAAGAAGGCCGUCGGGUUGUAAAGUACUUUCAGCGGGGAGGAAGCGAGUAAAGUUAAUACCUUUGCUCAUUGACGUUACCCGCAGAAGAAGCCCCGGCUAACUCCGU